GAUGAAGAGCGUAGUGAAAUGCGAUAAGUAAUGUGAAUUGCAGAAUUCAGUGAAUCAUCGAAUCUUUGAACGCACAUUGCGCCCGCCAGCAUUCUGGCGGGCAUGCCUGUUCGAGCGUCAUUUCAACCCUCGAGCCCCCCCGGGGGCCUCGGUGUUGGGGGACGGCACACCAGCCGCCCCCGAAAUGCAGUGGCGACCCCGCCGCAGCCUCCCCUGCGUAGUAGCACACACCUCGCACCGGAGCGCGGAGGCGGUCACGCCGUAAAACGCCCAACUUUCUUAGAGUUGACCUCGGAUCAGGUAGGAAUACCCGCUGAACUUAAGCAUAUCAAUAAGCGGAGGA
rnacentral:misc_RNA from 1 species